rnacentral:tRNA from 1 species
AGCUCCAUGGCAUAGUGGUACUGCACUCACCUUGCCACGUGGGAGACCCGGGUUCAAUUCCCGGUGGGGUCA